rnacentral:rRNA from 1 species
UAGUGGCGAACGGGUGAGUAACACGUGGGCAAUCUGCCCUGCACUCUGGGACAAGCCCUGGAAACGGGGUCUAAUACCGGAUACGAGCCUCCCGGGCAUCUGGGAGGUUGGAAAGCUCCGGCGGUGCAGGAUGAGCCCGCGGCCUAUCAGCUUGUUGGUGAGGUAACGGCUCACCAAGGCGACGACGGGUAGCCGGCCUGAGAGGGCGACCGGCCACACUGGGACUGAGACACGGCCCAGACUCCUACGGGAGGCAGCAGUGGGGAAUAUUGCACAAUGGGCGAAAGCCUGAUGCAGCGACGCCGCGUGAGGGAUGACGGCCUUCGGGUUGUAAACCUCUUUCAGCAGGGAAGAAGCGAAAGUGACGGUACCUGCAGAAGAAGCGCCGGCUAACUACGUGCCAGCAGCCGCGGUAAUACGUAGGGCGCAAGCGUUGUCCGGAAUUAUUGGGCGUAAAGAGCUCGUAGGCGGCUUGUCGCGUCGAUUGUGAAAGCCCGGGGCUUAACUCCGGGUCUGCAGUCGAUACGGNCAGGCUAGAGUGUGGUAGGGGAGAUCGGAAUUCCU